rnacentral:rRNA from 1 species
GACGAACGCUGGCGGCGUGCUUAACACAUGCAAGUCGAACGGAAAGGCCCUGCUUUUGUGGGGUGCUCGAGUGGCGAACGUGUGAGUAACACGUGAGUAACCUGCCCUUGACUUUGGGAUAACUUCAGGAAACUGGGGCUAAUACCGGAUAGGAGCUCCUGCUGCAUGGUGGGGUUUGGAAAGUUUCGGCGGUUGGGGAUGGACUCGCGGCUUAUCAGCUUGUUGGUGGGGUAGUGGCUUACCAAGGCUUCGACGGGUAGCCGGCCUGAGAGGGUGACCGGCCACAUUGGGACUGAGAUACGGCCCAGACUCCUACGGGAGGCAGCAGUGGGGAAUAUUGCACAAUGGGCGGAAGCCUGAUGCAGCAACGCCGCGUGCGGGAUGACGGCCUUCGGGUUGUAAACCGCUUUCGCCUGUGACGAAGCGUGAGUGACGGUAAUGGGUAAAGAAGCACCGGCUAACUACGUG